GUNNGGUGGCGGAAUUGGCAGACGCGUGCGUUUAAGGGGCGCAUGGAGCAAUCCGUGUGGGUUCAAUUCCCACCCUCGGCACCA
rnacentral:tRNA from 1 species